CAGCAACAAUCGUACUCACUGUCGAACUAAACCGCAACAAUUUCUUAUAGUGGUGCGCUCAAUUGGAGAAUGUUAUUUUGGCAAAUGACAUUGAAGACUUUCGCGAUGGUACCUCUGUGGUUCCUCCGCAAACUAUCAAUGGUGUUCCGGGAUUAAACCCAAAAUUUGAGCAAUGCUUCCAAUACAACUUCAAACAAUCAAGAAAGGAGGUCUUCUGAUGAUGGAUUACAUGAUCAACUUCCUGCAAUUUCAUAACUAAUUUCAGAUCGUGAUCAGGUUUUGUAUCUCUUGGCUGGUUUAAGUGCAGAUAACAAUUCUUUUGUGGUUUCUAUUACCUCAAAAAUUCCGAAUGGAUUUCUUUCGAACAAAUUACUACUGACGAAUCUAAUGUUGUGGCUGCCAAUUUUGC